rnacentral:rRNA from 2 species
GACGAACGCUGGCGGCGUGCCUAAUACAUGCAAGUCGAACGAACUCUGGUAUUGAUUGGUGCUUGCAUCAUGAUUUACAUUUGAGUGAGUGGCGAACUGGUGAGUAACACGUGGGAAACCUGCCCAGAAGCGGGGGAUAACACCUGGAAACAGAUGCUAAUACCGCAUAACAACUUGGACCGCAUGGUCCGAGCUUGAAAGAUGGCUUCGGCUAUCACUUUUGGAUGGUCCCGCGGCGUAUUAGCUAGAUGGUGGGGUAACGGCUCACCAUGGCAAUGAUACGUAGCCGACCUGAGAGGGUAAUCGGCCACAUUAGGACUAUGAGACACGGCCCAAACUCCUACGGGAGGCAGCAGUAGGGAAUCUUCCACAAUGGACGAAAGUCUGAUGGAGCAACGCCGCGUGAGUGAAGAAGGGUUUCGGCUCGUAAAACUCUGUUGUUAAAGAAGAACAUAUCUGAGAGUAACUGUUCAGGUAUUGACGGUAUUUAACCAGAAAGCCACGGCUAACUACGUGCCAGCAGCCGCGGUAAUACGUAGGUGGCAAGCGUUGUCCGGAUUUAUUGGGCGUAAAGCGAGCGCAGGCGGUUUUUUAAGUCUGAUGUGAAAGCCUUCGGCUCAACCGAAGAAGUGCAUCGGAAACUGGGAAACUUGAGUGCAGAAGAGGACAGUGGAACUCCAUGUGUAGCGGUGAAAUGCGUAGAUAUAUGGAAGAACACCAGUGGCGAAGGCGGCUGUCUGGUCUGUAACUGACGCUGAGGCUCGAAAGUAUGGGUAGCAAACAGGAUUAGAUACCCUGGUAGUCCAUACCGUAAACGAUGAAUGCUAAGUGUUGGAGGGUUUCCGCCCUUCAGUGCUGCAGCUAACGCAUUAAGCAUUCCGCCUGGGGAGUACGGCCGCAAGGCUGAAACUCAAAGGAAUUGACGGGGGCCCGCACAAGCGGUGGAGCAUGUGGUUUAAUUCGAAGCUACGCGAAGAACCUUACCAGGUCUUGACAUACUAUGCAAAUCUAAGAGAUUAGACGUUCCCUUCGGGGACAUGGAUACAGGUGGUGCAUGGUUGUCGUCAGCUCGUGUCGUGAGAUGUUGGGUUAAGUCCCGCAACGAGCGCAACCCUUAUUAUCAGUUGCCAGCAUUAAGUUGGGCACUCUGGUGAGACUGCCGGUGACAAACCGGAGGAAGGUGGGGAUGACGUCAAAUCAUCAUGCCCCUUAUGACCUGGGCUACACACGUGCUACAAUGGAUGGUACAACGAGUUGCGAACUCGCGAGAGUAAGCUAAUCUCUUAAAGCCAUUCUCAGUUCGGAUUGUAGGCUGCAACUCGCCUACAUGAAGUCGGAAUCGCUAGUAAUCGCGGAUCAGCAUGCCGCGGUGAAUACGUUCCCGGGCCUUGUACACACCGCCCGUCACACCAUGAGAGUUUGUAACACCCAAAGUCGGUGGGGUAACCUUUUAGGAACCAGCCGCCUAAGGUGGGACAGAUGAUUAGGGUG